AUAGGCUUUCAUGAUAACAACAUAACAUCACAAGUAUGACCAUGACAUAAACAAUCAUCCUGGAAGAUGAUGGGAUGAAUCCUAGACAAAUCCAUCAAUUUAAUUCUAUGAAAUACUUAGUUGGAAAUUGUAAUUUUACGGGGAUUUGGGUAAUUCUGGCAUUGUAGGUUUAGGUAUUUCAGGUUGCUUAGGCACUUCUAGCUUUGGCAAAGUUGGAAAUUCAGGCUUUGAAAUUUUUGGUAGCUCGGGUUU
rnacentral:lncRNA from 1 species